rnacentral:rRNA from 1 species
UGGGGAAUAUUGCACAAUGGGCGCAAGCCUGAUGCAGCCAUGCCGCGUGUGUGAAGAAGGCCUUCGGGUUGUAAAGCACUUUCAGCGAGGAGGAAGGUGGUGAGCUUAAUACGCUCAUCAAUUGACGUUACUCGCAGAAGAAGCACCGGCUAACUCCGUGCCAGCAGCCGCGGUAAUACGGAGGGUGCAAGCGUUAAUCGGAAUUACUGGGCGUAAAGCGCACGCAGGCGGUUUGUUAAGUCAGAUGUGAAAUCCCCGGGCUCAACCUGGGAACUGCAUUUGAAACUGGCAAGCUAGAGUCUCGUAGAGGGGGGUAGAAUUCCAGGUGUAGCGGUGAAAUGCGUAGAGAUCUGGAGGAAUACCGGUGGCGAAGGCGGCCCCCUGGACGAAGACUGACGCUCAGGUGCGAAAGGCGUGGGGAGCAAAACAGGAUUAGAUACCCUGGUAGUCCACGCUGUAAAACGAUGUCGAUUUUGGAGGUUGUGCCCUUGAGGCGUGGCUUCCGGAGCUAACGCGUUAAAUCGACCGCCUGGGGAGUACGGCCGCAAGGUU